CUACAUCCUGCCAAUCUGCCUGCCGGGUUCAUCAGUCGUCUUCCCAACUGGUUUGGAAUGCUGGGCAACCGGAUGGGGUAAUAUGAACUCAGAAGGUCAGUACCAAAUUUCCAUUACACCUACUACCAGAAUUAAUUGGUUUCUCACUUCUACCGAUCAUCACUAAAUCACCUAAAAUAGAAUUAAUGUAAAUUCUACAAAACUGGUUCAUGGAUUGCAAGAUAAGACAAGACGGGGGAUGUGAUAGAAAUAUUUAAAGGAUCACUAUAGGGUCAGGAACACAAACAUGUAUUCCUGACCAUAUAGUGUUAAACCCACCAUCUUGCCCCCCUGGCCCCUCAUGCCUCCAUAAAUAUAGCAAAAUCAUACUGUAUUCAAGCUAGAAGCUGUAACUCUGCAUGCUGUUAGACUCAGAAAAACAAGCAGUCUGCUGACAUCAUCAGAAGUGGUAGCCUGAUCCAAUCACAAUGCUUCCCUAUAGGAUUGGCUGAGACUGACAAAGAGGCAGAUCAGGGGCAGAGCCAGCACAAUUCAAACACAGCCCUGGCCAAUCAGCAUCUCCUCAUAGAGAUGAAUUGAAUCAAUGAAUCUCUAUGAGGAAAGUUCAGUGUCUGCAUGCAGAGGGAGGAGAUACUGAAUGUUUGGAUGCAUUUUAGGCAGCUAUGACCCAGGAAGGAUCUCUAACAGCUAUCUGAGGAGUGGCCAGUGAAGUUAUCACUAGGCUGUAAUGUAAACACUGCAUUUUCUCUGAAAAGACCCUAUUUACAGCAAAACGCCUGAAGGUAAUGAUUCUACUCACCAGAACAAAUUCAAUAAGCUGUAGUUGUUCUGGUGACUAUAGUGUCCCUUUAAAUACAUAAAGGGAAUCAACACAGUAAAGGAGGAGACUAUAUUUAAAAGAAGAAAAACUACCACAACAAAAGGACAUAGUCUUAAAUUAGAGGGGCAAAGGUUUAAAAGUGCCAUGGCUUACCUGGGUGUCCCCCGCUAUGUUUCCGUCCACUCCUGCGGCGCCUCCUCCUCGCUGCACACCCAAGGACAAAUGACUGGCAUCACUCUGACUCAUGGACGCGGCACUCCAUGCCACGCCCGACCCGCGGGAAGCCCCAGCCGAACCCACGUGUAAACUUCACUCACUCUAGGCAAGCGCACACCUGACAGCCGGACAGAACACCUGAAACAUCUUAUAGGGCUAAUCACUGUUUAACCAAUGAUUUGUGAGCGGUGGAUACCUCUCCCCUAUAUAAACCCGGUUAACCACUACCUCAGUGCUCAGUUAUACUGUGCUCUUCGGUAUAUACACUUCUGUAGAUCCUGUAUUAUCCAACUCUUAACCUAUCUGCCUGUUACACCAUUCCUGUACCUGCGCUGCCUGCCCUCGAUCUUGGCUUACCCUUACUAUGAGACUGUCUUAUUCUCAAUUGGUACCUCACUUUUGGCUCGCUCCUGCAUCCUGUCAAAGACCCAACAAAAAGGAAUAUCAGGAAGUAUGACUUUACUGAGAGGGUAGUGGAUGCAUGGAAUAGCCUUCCAGCUGAAGUGGUAGAGGUUAACACAGUGAAGUAGUUUAAGCAUGCGUGGGAUAGGCAUAAGGCUAUCCUAACUAUAAGAUAAGGCCAGGGACUAAUGAAAGUAUUUAGAAAAUUGGGCAGACUAGAUGGGCCGAAUGGUUCUUAUCUGUAAAGUAAAGCUUAAGUAAAAUUAAAAAAAAAAAAAUCAAAUUCAACUAAUGAAAUUAUCACAUGAAAUAAUCCUGUGUCUGUUCUGUAGCCUUCUCAUGGACCCCAACUCUUUUCUCCACAUUUACAAUAAAUUAUGGCAAUAUUCUAUAUAAAUAACAACAUUGCUACAAUCCUCAAAGCAACGUGGCUUAUGUUUUUGCAGACCUGAAUUAAAUGGAUAAAUAUGGAGACAGUAACUGAGUUUUCAACAAAUUAUCGGUAAUUAAUUCUUAUUUGAACAUUUUAGUCUAAUAAGCCUUUUAUAUGUUUGAAAUUUGUGUUUAAAGUGAAACUCCAGUGCCAGAAAAACAAUCAGUUUUCCUGGCACUGCAGGUACCCUCUCCCUCCCAUCCCAGGUAGCUGAAAACCCCUUCAGGUCACUUAAAUGUCCCUCGGGGGUGGUUUCGGGUUGGUGUCGCUCCUCCCAGUAAUCACGUCAGACGGUGGGCGAGACUGAUCCUGCCCGCCGGCUGAGGAAACCUAAUGCGCAUGCGCAUGCUUUCCUAUGGGGAACUGAGCGACGCUGGAGGUCCUCAUACAGUGUGAGGACGCCCAGCGACGCUCUAGCAAAGAAAAUCAGGAAGUGCCCUCUAGUGGCUGUCUAGUAGACAGCCACUAGAGGUGGAGUUAACCCUGCAAGGUAAUUAUUGCACAUUAUAAAAAACUGCAAUAAUUACAGUUGCAGGGUUAAGAGUAUUGGGAGUUGGCACCCAGACCACUCCAAUGGUCAGAAGUGGUCUGGGUGCCUGGAGUGUCCCUUUAAGUUAAACUUGGCAUUUCAUAAAUUAUAAUCGUAAUAUAGUGCUGUGGGUGAUUACCUUACUGGAGCAGUCAUCAUCCCCUGAUUUUUGUGGAAAUUCCUCUUCCUUCAGUGGAUGCCUUGGCAAUUUCAGCCACUUCAGAGAGAAUUGGAGGAGAAUGUUAAAUAAAAUAUUAAACAAGUAACACGCAUUCUAAUUUGGCUUAAGUUGUGUUUCACGCAGUGUGCAUUGUGAUCGCUACUAGAUUUACAACUAUUUUUAUACGUUAAAGUUUACUUUGUAAAAAUCUCAAAUUUAAAAAAAAAAGAUGAAUGAAUGCAUUAAGAAUUGUGAAGAUGUUUGUGAAUCUGGAAGCACCGUCAUUGCAUUGAUUUAUUUUCCUUAGCCGAUAAAGAUAUUGCUUCUCUUAGACUUGUGCUGGAUAUUGUUUGGGCUCAGCCACGUCAGUCCGGGUAAUGGAUCAGGAGACUAAGCCAAAAGGAGUGAACAUUGUCCAUUCAGAAUGCUGUAUGAUAUAUACAUAAUAUGAUUGGAUGUAUAUAUUUUGUAAUACACGGCUAAGGGCAUUGUUCCACCAUUUGGUUCACAGAUUACGUUGAGAAGAAUAUAAAAAGCUAACAGGUCACUAUAGAAUCCGUACUACAUGUUUGUAUUCCUAACUCUAUAGUGUUCCAUUAAUAAAUAUAUAAUAUAUAAAUAUAGAUUUUAUUUCACUGCUCCAUCUUUUUUAUUGUCCACUUCUCAUUUGAUCUGUGAAUAAAAUCAACAUUUAGUGGCUGUCCCGUACCCAUCAGCCAUCUCUUAUUUUGGCACCAUGAGCGGGAUUUAGAAUAUUGAUUCCCCAACCCGCACACAAACAUGUUUGGCUUUGUCCAGUAAUUGUGUAUCAUUCAGAAUUCCAGUUUGUUCCUAAAUGAAUCUCCAAGUCCAAUUUUCAUUUCAGAUACAUAUAAUAUGAAAAUAUGAAAUGACUUGUCUGACAGGGCCUGGGUUACAGAAAACAAGCUGCCUCUCCUUGCUGCUUAUUAAUAGGCACAUAUAGCUGUCAGAUCCAUGUAUUGUUUUUUUGUUUUUUUUAAUUUAGGGGAUCCUGUGUAUCCAGACAUCCUGCAGAAAGUAAAAAUACCACUUAUAGAUUCAACACAAUGUAACGAGACUUACCACACCGGUCCAUCGCCCAGUAGCAACAGUAUCUAUAAUGAGAUGCUAUGUGCUGGUUACAAUGAGGGAGGUAAGGACUCCUGCCAGGUUGGUCACAAUAAUUAAUCGUUAAAUGUCCACAUAAUAACUAAUUAUUCAUUAACAGGGGUCAAACUAAUAGCCUGCUCUGUAUCUAUUAACUACAUACGACCUUCAUGAUAAACUUGCACUACCAACAUCUGGAGACACCGAGCACAGUGGAGAAUCUUGGGAUUUGUAGUUUGACUGUAGAUAUGAAGUACUCGUCGAUGGUUUGCCUGUUUUGUGGAAAAGUUGACGUUUUUAUGUUUUGCCGUAGUGAAUCCCACUUUUAAUAUUUUUGGAGCUAUAUGUAACAUGAUAUCGCGUUAAAGGCUGUGUUAACCACAUUAGAAGGCCGUGGUACGUCAUAUUCGUUCUCCAUUUUCCUUCGCUAGUAUUGUAACAUUGGAGAAAUCCCUACUCAAAAUAUAUGUUUAGAAAUGUUGUCCUAUUGUAAGUCUCAUGAAAUGUACAAAGGUUUGAUCUGUUACAAGUCUUUGUUGAGAUCAAACACACCUGUUUCUAUAAUAUUGCAUUAAGACUCAUGUUUCAACAUUCAGGGAGACUAGAAAAAAUGAGAGCAUAGAAUUGAUCAUUAAAUAUCAGCAGGAGGGUAAUGUUGUAAACACAUCACCUAUUUCAUGUACUGAAUAUAGAAUGCUUUCAUUUUCUAUAGUAUAUUACUAAAUCUACGGAUUCUCAAUGAUAAAUCUGCUCACAAAUGCAUUUUUAUUUCCAGGGCGACUUGGGGGGACCCUUGGUGUGUGAGGUGGAUGGCAUCUGGCUCCUGGCUGGGAUUGUCAGCUGGGGAGAUGGAUGUGCUGUAGCUAAUCGCCCCGGGGUGUACGCCCGUGUACCGGCCUUUGAGUCCUGGAUCAAGGCGUAUGUUCCAGAGCUGAUAUUCCUCACUGUGGACCCUGUUGCCAGCACAAGUUUAGCUUACGCUUCUUGGAAAAUUGUUUUCCUCUGCAUUUUAAUUCUGACUUGGG
rnacentral:lncRNA from 1 species